rnacentral:rRNA from 1 species
GCGCUGGAGAACUGAGGGGGGCUGCUCCUAGUCCGAGAGGACCGGAGUGGACGCAUCACUGGUGUUCGGGUUGUCAUGCCAAUGGCACUGCCCGGUAGCUAAAUGCGGAAGAGAUAAGUGCUGAAAGCAUCUAAGCACGAAACUUGCCCCGAGAUGAGUUCUCCCUGACUCCUUGAGAGUCCUGAAGGAACGUUGAAGACGACGACGUUGAUAGGCCGGGUGUGUAAGCGCAGCGAUGCGUUGAGCUAACCGGUACUAAUGAACCGUGAGGCUUAACCUUACAACGCCGAAG